rnacentral:rRNA from 1 species
UUCGGGUUGUAAACCGCUUUCAGCAGGGAAGAAGCGAAAGUGACGGUACCUGCAGAAGAAGCGCCGGCUAACUACGUGCCAGCAGCCGCGGUAAUACGUAGGGCGCGAGCGUUAUCCGGAAUUAUUGGGCGUAAAGAGCUCGUAGGCGGUUUGUCACGUCUGCUGUGAAAGCCCGAGGCUCAACCUCGGGUGUGCAGUGGGUACGGGCAGACUAGAGUGCAGUAGGGGAGACUGGAAUUCCUGGUGUAGCGGUGAAAUGCGCAGAUAUCAGGAGGAACACCGAUGGCGAAGGCAGGUCUCUGGGCUGUUACUGACGCUGAGGAGCGAAAGCAUGGGGAGCGAACAGGAUUAGAUACCCUGGUAGUCCAUGCCGUAAACGUUGGGCACUAGGUGUGGGGGACAUUCCACGUUUUCCGCGCCGUAGCUAACGCAUUAAGUGCCCCGCCUGGGGAGUACGGCCGCAAGGCUAAAACUCAAAGGAAUUGACGGGGGCCCGCACAAGCGGCGGAGCAUGCGGAUUAAUUCGAUGCAACGCGAAGAACCUUACCAAGGCUUGACAUGGACCGGAUCGCUGCAGAGAUGCAGUUUCCCUUCGGGGUCGGUUCACAGGUGGUGCAUGGUUGACGUCAGCU